rnacentral:lncRNA from 1 species
GGCAGAGGAAUGGCUGUUCAAAACAUGAGAAUGAGAGAGAAGCUUAAAUACAAUCUUUACUACCAAUUGAUCAUUGGACAAUCCCUGAAGACUACCAGCAAAAGCUCCGGCAAGAAAUCUGAUUAUCCGACCAACUGAGUACUUCCUCUUCAUCUUCCUGUUGGCUGUUGAAGUGUUGCAUUGAGGUAACAAACCCACAAUUUAUUUAUUUUUUCUUAAGAAAAAUAAAGAAGAAGGGGCGGCCACUUGUUUGAAGAUGACUGGUUUUGUUGGCCAAAUUCCAUUAUUUAAGUAGUCACUGAUUUUAAUUUAUUUAUUAGAAAUAUAAUUUUUUUUUUCAUAUAUAUAAAUACAUUUGAUCUGAACAGAAUUGUAGGCCCUCCCAUUGAAUGAUCAAACCUGAAUUUUACGGGAUGUUGUGCCAACAUGGAAAAUUGAAUAGCUAUAUAUACAUAUAAAGUUGUUAGGCUGGCUGGUGACUUUCAAUUUGUCAAUUUCUUUUGCUUUUGUAGUCGGUAAUUGGUAUUUCCAAAAUCCAGACUUCCGGUGACAAUGUAGUGGGGUGGAUUUCAGGAUUUGUAUGAGGAUUUUCCAAUUUUAUAUUGUUAUUUAAUAUUUAUAUUUCUUAAUGAUCUUCUAGGAUGUUGUUUUUUGAUUUAUUUUGAUUCAACUGUUAUCUCUUCAAUAAUCGCUUUACAAGAGGCACGUAACACAGUCUAGAUCAAGUUUGUGAGUUCUGGCUAAUGGGUCUUGGUGCCUUAGGUAGUCUAAAUCGUAUAAAUAGGUUAUAGGUGCAUGUUGAGAAGGACGAAAUGGAGGUGAAUUACUAGAUUUUACUUAAGAUCUCUUUUUACUUUUCACAAUGAGAUUUUUACAGUUUGACACUUGAAGAUGAAGUUCACAUUAGUUGCCACUAAUUGGAAUGGUAAUUUUUCAAAAUUUAGAAGGCAAAUCUCUUGGGUUGCGUGAGAAGUUUUAUUUUGCUACUUUAUCUUUUGAAUUGUAUAAAGUCUUCUUUUAAAUAUAAACGUGUUAAUUAUUUAAAUAUUUAAAUAGUAUUACACUUGUAGAAUAAAAUAUUAUGUUGAAGAGCCUCGUAAUAAUUAAUCGCCUAGGACCUCUAAAUUCUCAAGGCCGACACUGUUUAUCUUCUCUAGAAAACCCAUCAAUUUUGGGUCUAUAUUGUUCAAAUAAAAUGCUUAAUCAAUUGAAUGCUCGAAAAAUAUAGUGUGGGAUACUGGACUGCAUAGGAAAGGCUGGCUAGCACGUUGAAAUUUUCCUUUGACCUUAAAAUUUUCUUUCCAUUUUUUUCACCAAUAUUGGCAGCUGCAAUCCUUUUGUCUGUAACCCUCUUUUGGGGCUGGACAUGAUUCGGUUUGAGAAUCGAAUCUGACACGAAAUUUUCGGGUAUUUAAUAAGUGGAACUAUUGGCUCCAAAUUUAAUUAUGAAAUCAUUCGGGUUCGGUUUGGUUUCAUUCGAUUUUCGGGUGACGUACUAUAAUUAAAUUUUUUAAAAUUUACAAAACUACAUUAAUUCAACUAAUUAAAUAUUCAAUUUUAGUUCUUACAAAAUAAUAUAAUUCAAUCUUAUUUGUCCUUUGCAUUUCUCUUUAUUGAGUUUUUCAUAGAUUUGAUUGUUAAAAUCACAGGAAGAGAAAGAUAGCGAGUUCACAAUAAUUAAGAGAAAUGUUAUCAAGCUUCAAUUCGAUAUCUCCAGAACAGUAAAAACAACACUAUUAUAGAAUAACAGAUUUCAAUAAAAUUUAAGUCAAUUUGAUUAAGUUGGAAUUGGAUUAAAAAUUAGAAAUAGAAAAAUCAUAUUUUAAGUUUGAGUUAAAUUAAUUAGUUAGCAAAUUUAUUUAGAAAAAAUAAAAGAAUUUGCCUUAUUUAAAAUAAAUAAAUUAAAAAAAGUAGGGUGAUUCGGUUCUUUAGUUCGAAGCCCGUCAAUUCUCGAUUCAAACACCCGUUCAGGUAUUUAACUUAAGAAGAACUACUCAUUCGGUUCAGUUCAAGACUAAUCCGAUUCGAUCGGUUCAAUUUGAGAGUUUUGUCCAGCCCAACCCUCUUUGCUGGAUAUCACCUCCAGUUUUGCAUUUUCUUUAGAAAAUUUGCACAAUUGUCUUUCACUUAUAGCAUUGAUGGUGAACACAUCCUCAAACUAUACACGAGAAGUUUUAGUCUCCAACAUCUAUCAAGUGUCAACGAGAAUGAGCUUUUUGAUGGUAAUGAAUGUUUUGGUGGUCAAAGUUCUGUAAAAAGUCCUUAACGGCUCUUUGUCCUCGUAAUAAAUUUUUUUGACUCUGACUCUGCCACAGCCCAUAGUAUAUUUAGCUAAGCUUGACAGGUUUACUUAUUAGUAGAUGAGAAAUUUAUUUACGUUCUAUUUUGUACAAUUACAUAUGAAUUACUUCAAAAUAAUUUUUUUUUUCCCUAAAGUAAGAAAAUAACUUAUCUAAACAUGUCUAGGAUCAGAUGUUAGCAAUAACUUUUACCUACUGAUUUUCCAAACAUGCUUUGCACAUUAUAUGACACGACAAAGUUUUCAUCCAAAAUUAUUUUACCUCUCUUGUAAAUUGACGGGUGCACAAUAAAGGAUCCUACAAAUAUAUCUUAAGAAAUUAAUAAAUUAUGUAUGCCUGUAAAAUGUACAUAAAUGAGUUACAAUGUAGAAGCUUAGAUAGAGAUGCUCUCAAACUCUAGCAAGAGAAACACUCACUAGAGUUUCCUCAUGCAUUGUGGGCUCAUUCUUCUUUGUCGGAAUUUACUUUCCUUGGCAUUUUUGAAUUUAGAACUGCAGAUUUUAUUAAAAUCUAUUCAGAUUCAUAUAUUUUUUAGUUUUGUGGAUUUCAAGUUCUUGGAGCCUCAAUUUCGCCAAAAUGACAGGUUUUCUUGGGUGUUUUGAAACUUUUACUUUGGUCAGAUUCAUACAUCAUUCGUCCAGAAAAAUCAGAGCUUUGCUCAUCCUUCUAUUUAGAUGUUCAAGUUUUCUUUGUCUCAUUAGAAGACUCGAUAAGAGUAGUUUCUUGGAGCUUCUCUUUCUUUAAAAAUUCUUAGAAGUAUUGAAGACCGUCCACGGGAUCGGGUAUUAUUAUCAGUGUAAUUUCAAAGUUGCAUGCUUUGUUAAAGCUCAAGUAGCACUUCAGUUUGGCCAGUUUGUUCAAAAGAAAGGGACAAUUUCAAUUUUGGUUGAUUUUGGCUGGCAGCUAGUUUAGACUCCUUACAGAUCAGCUGCCACUGCAACUCGUUCGAGGUAGGUACUCACUUCACCAUCCAGCUACCUGCUUAUUGGACUCUCUUCGUUCGUUGGCAAUGUUUUGGUUGUUCAUCCAGCCAGCAUAUUGUUGGUAUUGCUUUUCAAAAUUCAUGGUGUUCUUGGCAUUUUGAUAUCGUGCAGAUUUUAAUCUUAUUUUGAUUUCCCAAGUUUUGGCCAAGCCGUGUAUUACUUGUUUGGACAAUUUAGUCAAAUUUCUUUUGAUAAUUUGAAUUAGUCAAAUAGAUCACGCAGUAUUUCCGCAAGGAAUAUGAUGUUUGUCCAGGCUUAAAGACAGGGAAGAAAAAACAGACUGAUUUAGCG